rnacentral:rRNA from 1 species
UCAGAUUGAACGCUGGCGGCAUGCCUUACACAUGCAAGUCGAACGGCAGCACGGGGCGAACCUGGUGGCGGAGUGGCGAACGGGUGAGUAAUGCAUCGGAACGUGCCAUUGAGUGGGGGAUAACGUAGCGAAAGUUGCGCUAAUACCGCAUAUUCUGUGAGCAGGAAAGCAGGGGACCGCAAGGCCUUGCGCUCUUUGAGCGGCCGAUGUCAGAUUAGCUAGUUGGUGAGGUAACGGCUUACCAAGGCGACGAUCUGUAGCGGGUCUGAGAGGAUGAUCCGCCACACUGGAACUGAGACACGGUCCAGACUCCUACGGGAGGCAGCAGUGGGGAAUUUUGGACAAUGGGCGCAAGCCUGAUCCAGCCAUGCCGCGUGAGUGAAGAAGGCCUUCGGGUUGUAAAGCUCUUUCGGCCGGGAAGAAAUCGCAUGGGUUAAUACCCUGUGUGGAUGACGGUACCGGAAUAAGAAGCACCGGCUAACUACGUG